AAGGCCUAACACAUGCAAGUCGAGCGGCAGCGCGGGAGCAAUCCUGGCGGCGAGCGGCGGACGGGUGAGCAAUGCUUGGGAAUCUGCCCAUCAGUGGGGGACAACCCGGGGAAACUCGGGCUAAUACCGCAUACGUUCUUUGGAAGAAAGCAGGGGACCGCAAGGCCUUGCGCUGAUGGAUGAGCCCAAGUCGGAUUAGCUAGUUGGUGAGGUAACGGCUCACCAAGGCGACGAUCCGUAGCUGGUCUGAGAGGACGACCAGCCACACCGGAACUGAGACACGGUCCGGACUCCUACGGGAGGCAGCAGUGGGGAAUAUUGGACAAUGGGGGCAACCCUGAUCCAGCGACGCCGCGUGGGUGAAGAAGGCCUGCGGGUUGUAAAGCCCUUUCGUUGGGGAAGAAAAGCUGUGACCUAAUACGUCACGGCCUUGACGUUACCCAAAGAAGAAGCACCGGCUAACUCUGUGCCAGCAGCCGCGGUAAUACAGAGGGUGCGAGCGUUAAUCGGAAUUACUGGGCGUAAAGCGCACGUAGAUGGCUUUGUAAGUCGGAUGUGAAAGCCCCGGGCUUAACCUGGGAACGGCAUUCGAAACUGCAUUGCUCGAAUGUGGAAGAGGGAAGCGGAAUUCCAGGUGUAGCGGUGAAAUGC
rnacentral:rRNA from 1 species